UGUCGGAGAAAUUGGGAUGCUUUCCUGU
rnacentral:piRNA from 1 species